UCUACGGGAGGCAGCAGUGAGGAAUAUUGGUCAAUGGACGAGAGUCUGAACCAGCCAAGUAGCGUGAAGGAUGACUGCCCUAUGGGUUGUAAACUUCUUUUAUAUGGGAAUAAAACAGGGUAUGCAUACCCUCUUGUAUGUACCAUAUGAAUAAGGAUCGGCUAACUCCGUGCCAGCAGCCGCGGUAAUACGGAGGAUCCGAGCGUUAUCCGGAUUUAUUGGGUUUAAAGGGAGCGUAGGUGGAUUGUUAAGUCAGUUGUGAAAGUUUGCGGCUCAACCGUAAAAUUGCAGUUGAAACUGGUUUUCUUGAGUGAGCGAGAGGUAUGCGGAAUGCGUGGUGUAGCGGUGAAAUGCAUAGAUAGCACGCAGAACUCCGAUUGCGAAGGCAGCAUACCGGCGCUCAACUGACGCUCAUGCACGAAAGUGUGGGUAUCGAACAGGAUUAGAUACCCGGGUAGUC
rnacentral:rRNA from 1 species